UGAACAGAACUCUACAAAGAGCUAGACAGAGAUAUACAGUAUAAAGUAUCGAUCUUGUAGCCGAAGUAACUAUUUCACGAGCUAUGGCCGAUAGUCUAUAGUAUAUACAAUCAACAGCUAUUAUAAUGAGAAGUAUUGUUACAGGUUAGGGACAAGUCACGGCAGUGGGUGCAGCAGCAUAAUUUACUGAUUUGAAUUUGGCACCAGGAAGCGAGGUUUGGCCGUUAGAGGGCGGGGAUGGUCUCAUUCGAACGGGUGGGUCGGGAAGUUUGUUCUUCCUUCCACUUCAGUACCGAGAAUGUGUUGGACGGAGGAACAGCGCGCGUUUGCCGUAGAGGCUUACUUUUCUAAUGGUCGCUCAAUCGUCACCACGCAGCGAGCAUUCCGCGUGCACGUCAGUAUUUCCACCCGAGCUCGUGUUCCUGGUUGGCAAUCGAUUGUUACGUGGGCAAACAUUCAGGAGAACUGGCAGUGUGGAAAAGAGAAGAUCAGGGGAAUGGCCAGUCAGAUCACCCCAAAACGUCGAGGCGGUAAGGCAGUCUUUUUUGCGAUCUCCUUGGCUCUCGGCACGCAAGCAUGCAGCUGCCCUUGGAAUGUCUGAUCAUUCUGUGAGGCGAAUUCUUCAUGAUGACCUCCACUUUCAUCCUUACUUACAAGUUGGCUGUGGUGCAAGAACUCACUGAACGCGAUUUUGCUGCUCGGCAACAUGCAUGCGAAGCAUUCCUUGAAACUUUGCCUGAUCAUGCGCUUGUGUUCUUUAGUGACGAGGUUCAUUUCCAUCUUUCUGGAUGCGUGAACAAGCAAAACAUGCGCUACUGGAGUGAUAACAAUCCCCGAGAACUUCAUGAGAGGCCCCUUCAUUGUGAAUGUGUAACUGUUUGGUAUGCACUGUCGAGAGUAGGGAUUAUUGGUCCCUAAUUUUUUGAAGAGAGGGAGGUUGCAGUUACAGUGAAUUCUGUUCGCUAUGUGAAAAUGAUCGAAGAAUUUUUUUUGCCAAGUCUUGACGAAAUGGAUGUUGGGGAUGUGUGGUUUCAGCAGGAUGGAGCCACGGCACACACGGCGCAAACUGCAAUGCGUGUUUUGUGGGAACACUUCCCCGGGUGCCUGAUUUCUUUGAGGGGCGAUCUUCAGUAGCCGGCGCGCUCACCCAAUAUAGCCCCUUGUGACUCUUUCUUAUGGGGGUGUCUGAAAUCCCUCGUGUACACCGAUCGUCCAAGGACCCUUGCUCAACUGAAGGAGAAUAUUCGCCAGGCCAUAGCCAACAUACCCAUCGCUGUGCUGGAAAGAGUCGACAGACACUUCAGAAUUCAGGCAAAUCAGUGUAUCGCUAAUGGGGGGCACCACUUGUUGGAUACAAUUUUUAAAACAGAGUAAACGUAAAUUUCCAAUGUUGUAGAAUAUGGAGAAAAAAUAAUUACAAUGAUACCUAUAACAGUUUUUGUUUUAUUGACCCUUCAAAUCAGCAAAUUAUGCUGCCGCACCCUGUAUUAUGAAUGCCUUGACUUGUUCCUGUGGGAAUGGAAUAUUUGUUUUUUUGAUCUGUGACUCAUUCUAUAUCCAAUGGUUGUUUCCCAGCUUGUAUCUGGAUCUGUUUUUGAAUUUGAAAUAAAUUGAAAUUGAAUGCUGCA